GUUCUCAACAAUAACUGUACCUGAUGUAGCGCAGAAUUUAUGCUGAUGAUCUUCAAUAAAGCCUGCACCGAGAUUGUUCAGUGGAUGUCAGUGAUCCCUUAAAGCCACGAACCAACAAAACUGCAACUGUCCAUUCUGCUUUAAGAAAAUGAAGAGAAGAAUGCAUUUGGAUAAUACCUUUCAGAACGUUGGGACCUUCCAAGGAUGUUUAGGAUGGAUGGCCAUGAUCUCAAAAUAAGUGGCUUUUCAGGAGAGAAUGAAAAGAUAUUUCUUCACACAGAGAGUACUGACUCUUUGGAAUUCAUUAGCAACGCGAGCAAAAAUACUCAGUGCCAUUCUAACACACAUGAAUGCAAGAGGCUACAGAGAAUAGUGAACUGGGCCAGGUCCAUCGUGGGCACAGCCUCCCAGCAUCAAAAGCAUCUACAUGAGGUAUUGCCUUAAGAAGUUGGCAUUUAUCAUCAAUGACCCUCACCAUCCAGGCUGUGCACCAGGUAUAGAAGGUUGAAGUCCCACACCACCAGGUUCAGGAACAGUUACUUUCCUACAACUAUGAGGAUGUUGAAUCAACCUGCACAACCCAAGCAAUGGAACUCUAAGCACCACCUCUUGCGCUGCCAUAGCCUUGCUUUGUUUCCAAUAGUGCUCCACCCUAAUAUCUUGUUCUUUUGCAUUCUCCGUUUCAUUGUCUUGCAGAAUUUAAUGUACGAUUUAUGGAUAAUUUGUGCUUUUGAGUGUUGUCUGAGUCUGUGUGUCUAUGAUGCUGCUGCAAACAGGAUUUUCAUUGCAUCUCACCAUACUUAUGACAAUAAACUCCAACUGACCUGA